UACGGGGGGGGGCAAGCGUUGUUCGGAAUUACUGGGGCGUAAAGGGCUCUAGGCGGCCAACUAAGUCAGACGUGAAUCCCCAGCUUAACCUGGGACUGCGUCUGAUACUGGAUGGCUUGAAUCCGGGAGAGGGAUGCAGAAUUCCAGGUGUAGCGGUGAAAUGCGUAGAUAUCUGGAGGAAUACCGGUGGCGAAGGCGCAUCCUGGACCGGCAUUGACGCUGAGGGCGCGAAAGCCAGGGGGAGCAAAGCGAUUAAGCAAACCCCAGUACGUCCAAGACCAAUGCUCCGUUAGCUACC
rnacentral:rRNA from 1 species